UCCGGGGGAAGCUCACCGCCGAGGCCACGCACUGGGUGCGCGUCACUCCGGCCCCGCCUCGGGGAAGGUCUGAGGGAAGGGCCGCCAGCGGCUCUAGCAGAGCCCCGCCCGCGACGGGCGGGUGAGCCACCAGAAAGGGGGGGCGCCGCGAGAGCCGGCCUGGGCAGGAGAAGCCGAGCAGGGUCCGGGGCGGGUUCUCCCCCCUCAAGGCACCCCCGGCGGAUGCUCAUGGCCCCGCGGUGCUUUGAAACAGACUCACGGCCGGCGAUUGCUGAGUCCAAUGGGUGAGGUGGGGCAUCGCCCUACAACCCAAUUCAGACUACUCUCCCCCGGA
rnacentral:RNase_P_RNA from 1 species